GAUGAACGCUAGCGGCAGGCCUAACACAUGCAAGUCGAGGGGCAUCAUGGCGUAGCAAUACGCUGAUGGCGACCGGCGCACGGGUGCGUAACGCGUAUGGAACCUACCCACCGCAGGGGGAUAACCCGCCGAAAGGCGGACUAAUACCCCAUGGUUCCCCGACCCUGCCUGGGUUGGGGGUAAAGCCUACGGGCGGCGGUGGAUGGCCCUGCGUGCCAUUAGCUGGCUGGUGGGGUAACGGCCCACCAGGGCGACGAUGGCUAGGGGGUCUGAGAGGACGAUCCCCCACACUGGUAACUGAGACACGGACCAGACUCCUACGGGAGGCAGCAGUGAGGAAUAUUGGACAAUGGAUGGAAAUCUGAUCCAGCCAUGCCGCGUGCAGGAAGACAGCCCUAUGGGUUGUAAACUGCUUUUAAUGGGAGCAAUAAGGUCUACGUGUAGCUGAUGAAGUACCAUAUGAAUAAGCAAUCGGCUAA
rnacentral:rRNA from 1 species